rnacentral:rRNA from 1 species
GACAGAGGGUGCAAACGUUGUUCGGAAUUACUGGGCGUAAAGCGAGUGUAGGCGGUCCGAUAAGUCGGGUGUGAAAGCCCUGGGCUCAACCCAGGAAGUGCACUCGAAACUGCCGGGCUAGAGUAUCGGAGAGGUUGGUGGAAUUCUCGGUGUAGAGGUGAAAUUCGUAGAUAUCUGGAGGAACACCGGUGGCGAAGGCGGCAUCCUGGACCGGUAUUGACGCUGAGGCGCGAAAGCUAGGGGAGCAAACGGG